GACGAACGCUGUCGGCGUGCUUAACACAUGCAAGUCGAACGGAAAGGCCCUGCUUUUGUGGGGUGCUCGAGUGGCGAACGGGUGAGUAACACGUGAGUAACCUGCCCUUGACUUUGGGAUAACUUCAGGAAACCGGGGCUAAUACCGGAUAGGAGCUCCUGCUGCAUGGUGGGGGUUGGAAAGUUUCGGCGGUUGGGGAUGGACUCGCGGCUUAUCAGCUUGUUGGUGGGGUAGUGGCUUACCAAGGCUUUGACGGGUAGCCGGCCUGAGAGGGUGACCGGCCACAUUGGGACUGAGAUACGGCCCAGACUCCCACGGGAGGCAGCAGUGGGGAAUAUUGCACAAUGGGCGGAAGCCUGAUGCAGCAACGCCGCGUGCGGGAUGACGGCCUUCGGGUUGUAAACCGCUUUCGCCUGUGACGAAGCGUGAGUGACGGUAAUGGGUAAAGAAGCACCGGCUAACUACGUGCCAGCAGCCGCGGUGAUACGUAGGGUGCGAGCGUUGUCCGGAUUUAUUGGGCGUAAAGGGCUCGUAGGUGGUUGAUCGCGUCGGAAGUGUAAUCUUGGGGCUUAACCCUGAGCGUGCUUUCGAUACGGGUUGACUUGAGGAAGGUAGGGGAGAAUGGAAUUCCUGGUGGAGCGGUGGAAUGCGCAGAUAUCAGGAGGAACACCAGUGGCGAAGGCGGUUCUCUGGGCCUUUCCUGACGCUGAGGAGCGAAAGCGUGGGGAGCGAACAGGCUUAGAUACCCUGGUAGUCCACGCUGUAAACGGUGGGUACUAGGUGUGGGGUCCAUUCCACGGGUUCCGUGCCGUAGCUAACGCUUUAAGUACCCCGCCUGGGGAGUACGGCCGCAAGGCUAAAACUCAAAGGAAUUGACGGGGCCCCGCACAAGCGGCGGAGCAUGCGGAUUAAUUCGAUGCAACGCGUAGAACCUUACCUGGGUUUGACAUGGAUCGGGAGUGCUCAGAGAUGGGUGUGCCUCUUUUGGGGUCGGUUCACAGGUGGUGCAUGGCUGUCGUCAGCUCGUGUCGUGAGAUGUUGGGUUAUGUCCCGCAACGAGCGCAACCCUUGUUCACUGUUGCCAGCACGUUAUGGUGGGGACUCAGUGGAGACCGCCGGGGUCAACUCGGAGGAAGGUGGGGAUGACGUCAAGUCAUCAUGCCCCUUAUGUCCAGGGCUUCACGCAUGCUACAAUGGCUGGUACAGAGAGUGGCGAGCCUGUGAGGGUGAGCGAAUCUCGGAAAGCCGGUCUCAGUUCGGAUUGGGGUCUGCAACUCGACCUCAUGAAGUCGGAGUCGCUAGUAAUCGCAGAUCAGCAACGCUGCGGUGAAUACGUUCCCGGGGCU
rnacentral:rRNA from 1 species